UCCAUCCUUGUCUAUGGGGAGCAAAGUGUUCAGUGAUCGGCUAGUGAGAAUGCUGUUGCUGAAACCCAUUAUUAACUAAACAACUGCAUCCACAUUUUCUUAUGUGUGAUGCAAUUUUUGGAGGC
rnacentral:ncRNA from 1 species